AACGAGUUAUCCAACGACCGGUACGUGUGCGCUUGGUGCACUUGAUGGACCGUGGGUGUGACCUUUCAACUUUGCAAGCUCCUCCUUGACGUCUGCCAGGAACUGCGCAUCUGUGGCGGGGUCGACUGUUUGCGCAUAUCUAUAAAUAGGUCUUCCGUCUGGACCAAUGAGAAACUUCUCGUAGUUCCACUUGACGUCUUCGGUGUAAACUGGGCUGUACAGGAUUGGGGUGUACACCCGUCUUUCCACGGACGGGCACAUGGACUGGAAAAUAAAUGACAAUUACAUUGAGCAACAAUUUAGUGAAUGUAACAGUAAACAACAUGAAUUGUAUUCUGUUUAAUAUAUUAAAACCGUCAGAUGAUUUAGAUUUCUAAAGAUUGUCCAGAUUUAUAACGUUACAAAUGAUACACUAAAUGUAACGAAGCACGUGAAACGGUCGUGAUUAAAAAGGAAUUUAACUUAUACAGUAGUUUGUUGAUGCCAAAUAUGAGAGUAGACAAAACGUUUUAUUAAAUUAUUAAAGUUUUAAUAAGUAAAGUUUUAUUAUAACAAUCGGUAUGGCGAAGCUGAUCGCGACAUGUCUGAUGGUAUAGAAGGUCUAUGAGGUCACCUUGAGAUAUUUGUACAUCGCGUGUUCAUCCUGACCGUUUACAUCCGUCUUCUUAGCGAGAGGAAAAUUCGGCACGAAACCUCCCCCGGGACGCACGUGCUUAAGCCCGUUCAUCAACUCCACGCCGUUCCAGGCAGGCUCUUGCUGGAAUCGGGAAAGUAAUACUAACUUAAAUAAUACGUAUAUUGAGAUGUCGCGUGUUGUUUUUUAAGAACAUUGUGCGAAACAGUAACUGCGUCUAUGAAGCAUGUACUGAAAAUCAGUAUACGCAUUGCUUCAAUUUCAUUAACUUAUUAUGGCAACAAUGAUCUUGACCAAGCUAGCGAUAAAUUUACAUGUUCAUGAUUUCUUAAUCUUAACCAAAAUUCAACAUUCGGAUAUGUACGCUAUCAAUGCAGAUACAAAGUCAUAUGUAAAUUUAAUUUUGAGUGAACUGCAACACUUGCUUGCCGUAAUCUUAAUAAGCUGAAAAUAGUGUCUACAUGUAAUAAUGUUACGUAAUUCAGUAACUUGAUGUACUUACGAAGUAGAACUGAUUGCAAGGCACUCCCAGAAUCUGGAGACCUUCAGCACCAUGUUGGGUCUGUAGUGCAUUCAACCCAUGGUACUGCCACACGUGUCCUCAGUACGUCGCAACGUUCACUACCAACGUCAGCUUCCCGCGAAACUGACUCAAGUCGAUAGUGGCGUUGUCAUACACGUUCCGAAUAGAGAAAUCGAAGAUGCUCUGAUUGUUCGUCGGUGGUCCGCACGCCUGGCGUUCUUCACUGGCGACAGCCGACCCGACGACGGCGGUCAGCCAGACAAGCGUACUCAGUACGCCGUCUCCUUGCAUUGUCCGGUCUUUCGCCGACAA